rnacentral:lncRNA from 1 species
CUUGUCGAUUUAUAAGGUAAACCCUAAAAUUAAACAAGUACAACAUAAUUGGUUGUAAUAAUUAUAGUUCAAAAUUUAGUUUCUAUUUUAGAGAGAUAGAUGUCCUUACAGACAUAGCGAACCAGCAAUAUCCUGUUUCGUUACGUGUAACUUUUGGCAGAAAGGGAGAUGCACCAAAUCUAAUUGUAAAUAUAGACAUUCAGUAGUAAAACAACAACAGGUAAACAUAGCCUUAUAUUUCUUGAUAUCGCUAUCAGUUAGGGAAACUUUUUUCUAUCUAUAAAAUCGUUCCUUGAAGCUAACAUAUGACUGUAGUUAUAGCACAAUGUAAAAAUACACAGAUAAAGAUACUUCCUGAAUUUUUGUGUCAUGUUAUCUGUUUUAGGAGGGUUAUCCUAUUAAUUAAGGUUACAAUACACCAUUAGAUUUUAUGGGCGCAGCCAUUUUAUGAGCAUAACAUGGUAUUCAGAAUUAAGAGUAUGGCUUAUCCUGAUUGGUCCAUAUGUGCGCACGUUAUUUUUUAUUUUUAGAGACUUCGUGCACUCUGCUUUAUACAAAAGGCAAAAUAAAAAUUAUUCCGUAGCCCUAAAGGCACUGAGAUGACUUUUCAACGCUAGGACAAGACACGUAUUUUUAAGGGCAAAAUUGAUAGGCAUGGGAGAUAAGUACAAAAUACGCUAAGAAAAGCAACGCGAACCUAUAUUUUUGGGACCAAAAAAUACUGUCCUAAUAACUUUUCUUUGAUUCUAGCAAGGUUUCGUUAAAAAAAUCAACUUUCUAAAGUCUGUAUCUCGAAAAAGGCUACCAUUGUCGCCUAUGGGGAAAUUAAUUGUUUAUUUCAUUCUAUAGAUGACAGAGGAAUUGCAUUACACACACGAUAUAUCUUAAUUUAUAUUAAGUCCAUAAAAGUGUAUAACAAAUGGCUUGAACAAUUGGAAGUCAUUCAAAUCACACACUAUAGUAUGCAAAGGCAAACAACAAUGCGAAUGAUUGAAGUGUGAGGGCGCAGGACAUUUGAGCGAUCAUUUUUAAACUAAAAGGGAACAUUUUAGCAAAAGAUUUUCUGGUUGAUUGAAAUUCCGAUCAACAUAUUAAAACCAUGAACAUUAAUUUAGGCUGGAUUAAUGAUUAAGUUGUUUGCAUUAACAAUUUGGUUAGUUAUAAAUAAAAAAAAAGUGUGACAUGUAAGGGCUAACGUCAUCCGGCUAUUUUUAUUUCUUCCGGAAGUUCUGGAAAUUAUCAAAUUACAAACAACCACAUAUAUUAUGAAGUACCGAUGAAUAAGCCCUUCGGUCUAUUGAUGAUGAAGAGAAAGAACAAUUCCGUCCGAAUUUUAUGAACUAUCUGGUAAAAGGGGUAUAUAAAGAGCUUUCACGUACGUUCAAUGGUACACACAUUUACAAUUUAACAUUUCAAUUACCUUUUAAGAAUUUUAGUACUGUAUUUUUAUGACAUGAUUUAAUAUUUAUAAUUUCUGUCGCUAAAUAGUUAUCAAAGAUACCAGGAUUAUAAUUUAAUACGCCAGACGCGCGUUUCGUCUACAUAAGACUCAUCAGUGACGCUCAGGUUCUACAAGUCAAAAACAAGUUGUGCCAUAUACGGCUAAGGUAAUUUAUUCCUAGGAUAAAAAAAAUUCUUAGUUUUUCGAAAAAUUAAAAGUUUUGUCAAUUUAUUAAAAUUACUAUAUAAUUGAUAUUCAUGUCAACACCGACGUGCUGACUACUGGGCUGGUGAUACCCUAGGGGACGAAAUGUCACCAGCAGUGGCAUCGACCCAGUAUUGUAAAUAGUUAUCAAAGGUACCAGGAUUAUAAUUUAAUACGCCAGACGUACAUUUCGUCUAAAAUUGGCAUUGAUUAUUUCACUUUUCGUUAAAACAUUACACUUAAAUCGGAAUUGAUAUUUCACUUCAACCUAUAUAAACUAAAACGUCCGAUUUUUUUUCUUGAAAUGUCCUAUCAAUGCGCAAAAAUGUUCUCCGCCGAAUAGUGACAUAUGUCAACUCUACUGCCAAUGGUACGCUUUCUUAUUUUGGUGCAAAAAAAAAAGAAACCACACACCAGAUUCAUUUUGAAAUAUUAAUACAGUUUAAUAAUGUAUGUCUCCUUUAUGAUGAAUAGCCAAGGACACAUCCGACUUGUAUUUAAGAACGACUACCCUUGUCUCAGUGAUAAUUUCUUUUACAGAAAAAACGGGAACUUAUACCCUGCUAUCAUGAAACUCAACCAUCUGGCUGUACACGACCAGGCUGUCCUUUUAAACACUCCAAGCCUGAUUCAGCUACUCGGUAUAAGUAUGAAGACACAUUAUCCGGUAAGUUACUAUGUAUAUAUAGUAAUUGACUUUCUGCAAUAUGAUUCGAUAUCAACAGACGUUUGUAUGACAAAGGUGCUUUUGUGGGUUAUUUUUGUCAACAUUGCUUAUGUAGUUGCGACGGUACGGUUAUCUUUUGGUUUUACUUUUAAAAGCAUAAAUGUCAAUUAAAAAGCAAUAUUCAUUAUAAUUGAAAAUAAAACAUUAAAUUUUUCAUCAGCUUAUACGAUCAUUUAAAAUUAAUAAUCCUCAAUACACAUGCACAAGUGAAUUAUUUUCUAUUGACAGCUACCCAUGCAAUGGCACCAGUAGAAAAUGGUUCGGACUUUUGGGAACCUUCACCGUCACCGA